GUGCUGGCUCUGGAAGCACAUGUACUAAAAUUAGAACGCUACAGAGAAGAUUAGCACGGUCCCUGUGCAAGGAUGACAUGCAAAUUCAUAAAAGCAUUCCAUAUCUUU
rnacentral:snRNA from 1 species